rnacentral:rRNA from 1 species
AGCAGCCGCGGUAAUUCCAGCUCCAAUAGCGUAUAUUAAAGUUGUUGCAGUUAAAAAGCUCGUAGUUGAAUUUCGGGAUCAAGGAAUCGGUCAUGCCUCGGUAUGUACUGGUUUUAUUGGUUCUCACCUUCUAAAGAACCAUGAUGUCAUUCAUUUGAUGUUAUGGGGAAUUAGGACUGUUACCUUGAAAAAUUAGAGUGUUUAAAGCAGGCUUACGCUUGAAUACAUUAGCAUGGAAUAAUGAAAUAGGACAUCAGAUUCUAUUUUGUUGGUUUCUAGGAUCGAUGUAAUGAUUAAUAGGGAUAGUUGGGGGCAUUAGUAUUCAAUUGUCAGAGGUGAAAUUCUUGGAUUUAUUGAAGACUAACUACUGCGAAAGCAUUUGCCAAGGAUGUUUUCAUUAAUCAAGAACGAAAGUUAGGGGAUCGAAGACGAUCAGAUACCGUCGUAGUCUUAACCAUAAACUAUGCC